rnacentral:rRNA from 1 species
GAGGGGUGCAAACGUUAUUCGGAUUUACUGGGUGUAAAGGGUGUGUAGACGGGUUGUUAAGUUCGUUGUUAAAUCUUCCGGCCUAACCGGAAGCUCGCAAUGGAAACUGGCAAUCUAGAGGAUGGAAGAGAGAAGUGGAAUUCUCGGAGUAGCGGUAAAAUGCGUAGAUCUCGAGAGGAACACCGAUGGCGAAGGCAGCUUCUUGGUCCAUUCCUGACGUUGAGACACGAAAGCGUGGGGAGCAAACAGGAUUAGAUACCCUGGUAGUCCACGCUGUAAACGAUGAUCACUAGAUGUUGGCUCUGUUUUUGCAGAGUUAGUAUCGAAGCUAACGCGUUAAGUGAUCCACCUGGGAACUACGAUCGCAAGAUUA